rnacentral:rRNA from 1 species
GGAUUAGAUACCCUGGUAGUCCACGCCCUAAAUGAUGUCUAUUAGUUGUUGGGUCUUAACUGACUUAGUAACGCAGCUAACGCGUGAAAUAGACCGCCUGGGGAGUACGGCCGCAAGGUUAAAACUCAAAGGAAUUGACGGGGACCCGCACAAGCGGUGGAUGAUGUGGAUUAAUUCGAUGCAACGCGAAAAACCUUACCUACACUUGACAUGUCAAGAAUUUGCCAGAGAUGGCUUAGUGCUCGAAAGAGAGCUUGAACACAGGUGCUGCAUGGCUGUCGUCAGCUCGUGCCG